UUCGCACUAAAAGCCAAAUUGCAGUAAUUGAAUUAUUCAUGUCUUCGGGGCUUUCAACGAGGUAUAGUCGUGCGGUUGGGAAGUUUCGAGGCGCAAUAACUCAAUCAUUCCAGCUGGAAAUCAUCUGACGGAUGAGAAUACACCUUCUACCCCAUCAAAACAAGGAAAUCAUCGAAUUAUUCGUAAUCAUCGGUUUAUCUCGAAAACUAUCGACAUCAGGAGGAAGUGCUGAGGAAGUUUUUUGAAGUUCAUCAAAUUUUCAAGAAAAAAGUAUUCUUCAUGUUUUGUGAAAAAACGACUUUCCCGCACGCUAUUUUUUUCGGAACAUUCCGUCAUCGAUCAAGUGGAAUCCAAUCAAGAGCUUAAUUACCUGGCCUCCCUGCCACCCCCCUUCACCCCCGAUCGGAAAAAUCCCGCCGAUGUGCAGGAUAUUAUCUUCGGACACAGAUUUUCGUGUGCGGAGGUUGAAAAAUUCGUGGACAGGAGUGACUCCUCAGGAUGACGCCGUAAGGAUCGGCUAGUCCCAGUAGAUCCUUUUGUAUAUCAUUUUCCUCCGUUCACAUAAUCCUUUAUCACUUGUUGCCGAUGGUGACGAGUAAUGAACACUUGACCCACAUUAUCGCACGAUCACUUGAACCGAUUUACCGAACUACCCGAAUCAGGGAUUUUCAGGGAUUGAAAAAUUCAAUUGACGAAAUAGAUCAUGAAUCGUGAUGAUCCUCGAGGUCAGAGCGACGGUGAACCUCCGCGGGUAUGAAUCAUAUUGAUUCUGGUUACACCAAAAGUAUUCCUGAGGGUCGCACCGAGAGGUCUACCCCCUCUACAAGGGUGAUAUCAGAAAAUCGAUGUGCACACCCCCGAAAUAAUCUAUCCACCCAUUACUUCCACCGAAUUUUAUAAUCCCCGGUGAUGGGCUUUUGACUCGAUCUGCUUCGGCGCCUUCCACCCGGAUGACUUCCACUCGGUUGGUACUC